rnacentral:misc_RNA from 1 species
GUGAAUCAUCAAAUUUUUGAACGCAAAUUGCACUCUCUUCUAAGAGUAUGCCUGUUUGAGGGUCAGCCUAAAAAAAAUCGACAUCGUUGCUGUUUCUCGGUGUCAUUCGUCGUAAAUUGCGUUAUCUUAAAUCUUUGGGUUAAUCGACUUAUAAUUUUCUUUACUAUUCCAUGAACGUUGCCAAAAUUUAUUUUUUUAUACGUUUA